GGAGGGUGCGAGCGUUAUCCGGAAUUACUGGGUUUAAAGGGUGCGUAGGCGGCCAUGUAAGUCAGGAGUGAAAGUUUGCGGCUCAACCGUAAAAUUGCUUUUGAUACUGCAUGGCUGGAAUCAGGAUGAGGUCAGCGGAAUGUGGCAUGUAGCGGUGAAAUGCAUAGAUAUGCCAUAGAACACCMAUUGCGAAGGCAGCUGGCUAGACCUGUAUUGACGCUGAGGCACGAAAGCGUGGGGAGCGAACAGGAUUAGAUACCCUGGUAGUCCACGCCCUAAACGAUGCUUACUCGACGUAUGAAGCUUGUCUUUGUGCGUCCAAGGGAAACCGUUAAGUAAGCCACCUGGGGAGUACGACCGCAAGGUUG
rnacentral:rRNA from 1 species